rnacentral:rRNA from 1 species
CAAAGGUCGAACGCGCGGAUCAGGAGCUUGCUCCUGUGACGCGAGUGGCGGACGGGUGAGUAACACGUAGGCAACCUGCCCAUCAGACUGGGAUAACCACGGGAAACCGUGGCUAAUACCGGAUAACCCUUUUCCACACAGGUGGGAAAGUUGAAAGGCGGUCUUUUGGCUGUCACUGAUGGAUGGGCCUGCGGCGCAUUAGCUGGUUGGUGGGGUAACGGCCCACCAAGGCGACGAUGCGUAGCCGACCUGAGAGGGUGAUCGGCCACACUGGGACUGAGACACGGCCCAGACUCCUACGGGAGGCAGCAGUAGGGAAUCUUCCGCAAUGGACGAAAGUCUGACGGAGCAACGCCGCGUGAGUGAAGAAGGGUUUCGGCUCGUAAAACUCUGUUGUCAGGGAAGAACGCCGACGGGAGUAACUGCCCGUCGGGUGACGGUACCUGACCAGAAAGCCACGGCUAACUACGUGCCAGCAGCCGCGGUAAUACGUAGGUGGCAAGCGUUAUCCGGAAUUAUUGGGCGUAAAGCGCGCGUAGGCGGUUCGUUAAGUCUGAUGUGAAAGCCCCCGGCUCAACCGGGGAGGGUCAUUGGAAACUGGCGGACUUGAGUGCAGAAGAGGAGAGUGGAAUUCCAUGUGUAGCGGUGAAAUGCGCAGAGAUAUGGAGGAACACCAGUGGCGAAGGCGGCUCUCUGGUCUGC